rnacentral:rRNA from 1 species
GAUGAACGCUGGCGGCGUGCCUAAUACAUGCAAUCGAGCGAAUGGAUUAAGAGCUUGCUCUUAUGAAGUUAGCGGCGGACGGGUGAGUAACACGUGGGUAACCUGCCCAUAAGACUGGGAUAACUCCGGGAAACCGGGGCUAAUACCGGAUAACAUUUUGAACCGCAUGGUUCGAAAUUGAAAGGCGGCUUCGGCUGUCACUUAUGGAUGGACCCGCGUCGCAUUAGCUAGUUGGUGAGGUAACGGCUCACCAAGGCAACGAUGCGUAGCCGGCCUGAGAGGGUGAUCGGCCACACUGGGACUGAGACACGGCCCAGACUCCUACGGGAGGCAGCAGUAGGGAAUCUUCCGCAAUGGACGAAAGUCUGACGGAGCAACGCCGCGUGAGUGAUGAAGGCUUUCGGGUCGUAAAACUCUGUUGUUAGGGAAGAACAAGUGCUAGUUGAAUAAGCUGGCACCUUGACGGUACCUAACCAGAAAGCCACGGCUAACUACGUGCCAGCCGCCGCGGUAA